UGAACGUGUCCUGAAAGUAGUUGG
rnacentral:piRNA from 1 species